CUAUCAGGUAGUAGUGGGUGUAGCGUACCUACUAGCUUACGACGGGUACGGGUUGUGAGAGCAAGAGCCCGGAGAUGGAUUCUGAGACACGAAUCCAGGCCCUACGGGGUGCAGCAGGCGCGAAAACUUUACAAUGCUGGAAACAGCGAUAAGGGGACCUCGAGUGCCAGGUUACAAAUCUGGCUGUCGUGAUGCCUAAAAAGCAUUGCAUAGCAAGGGCCGGGCAAGACCGGUGCCAGCCGCCGCGGUAACACCGGCGGCUCGAGUGGUAACCGUUAUUAUUGGGUCUAAAGGGUCUGUAGCCGGCCGGAUAAGUCUCUUGGGAAAUCUGGCAGCUUAACUGUCAGGCUUUCAGGAGAUACUGUCUGGCUCGAGGCCGGGAGAGGUGAGAGGUACUUCAGGGGUAGGGGUGAAAUCUUGUAAUCCUUGAAGGACCACCAGUGGCGAAGGCGUCUCACCAGAACGGACCUGACGGCAAGGGACGAAAGCUAGGGGCACGAACCGGAUUAGAUACCCGGGUAGUCCUAGCCGUAAACGAUACUCGCUAGGUGUCGGCAACGGUGCGACCGUUGUCGGUGCCGUAGGGAAGCCGUGAAGCGAGCCACCUGGGAAGUACGGCCGCAAGGCUGAAACUUAAAGGAAUUGGCGGGGGAGCAC
rnacentral:rRNA from 1 species